rnacentral:rRNA from 1 species
GUAAUCAGGCCAGCAUCGGUUUCGGCGGGCGGAUAAAGCCCCCGGGAAUGUAGCUCCCCUCGGGGAGUGUUAUAGCCCGGGGCGUAAUGCGCCCAGCCGGGACCGAGGACCGCGCUUCGGCUAGGAUGCUGGCGUAAUGGUCGUCAGCGACCCGUCUUGAAACACGGACCAAGGAGUCUAACAUCUAUGCGAGUGUUUGGGUGCCAAACCCGUGCGCGGAAUGAAAGUGAACGGAGGUGGGAGCCCCCUCGGGGGCGCACCAUCGACCGAUCCUGAUGUCUUCGGAUGGAUUUGAGUAGGAGCAUAGCCGUUGGGACCCGAAAGAUGGUGAACUAUGCGUGAAUAGGGUGAAGCCAGAGGAAACUCUGGUGGAGGCUCGCAGCGGUUCUGACGUGCAAAUCGAUCGUCAAAUUUGCGUAUAGGGGGCGAAAAGGUAUGUCGCUAAAUUUCUAUUAUUCCAUCCGUAAAAAUCGUCGUGUAAACAAUUGUNGGACGACUGCUNGACUUGUUUGACAGACUAAUCGAACCAUCNNNUAGCUGGNUUUCAGCCNGAAGUUUCCCUCNAGGAUANNNNUAACNNUUUNCAGUUUNAUGAAGGUAAAGNNAANUGAUUAGAAGGCNNUUGGGGGGCGAAACCNCCUUNAACCNNUUNCUCAAACUU